GUAUAAAGACGUUUAUUGACAAUUGUUUUAAACAGCAAGGAAGUGGAAACAACGUGUUCAUCAACAGAGAAACAACUUGAACAUAUAAUGCCUCUCCAUGUGUAAAAUUCUGCAGCUAACAACAUUAAAAUGAGUUAGAUUUAUAUGUACCUGGAAACAUGUCCAUGAUGUAUUUUACAGGAAAAGUUGCAGACUGAUGUCCCAUACAGUGAUCCUGCUUAUAUAAAUAUCCACAAGCAACCAAGAAAAAAAAAACAUGUAUAAAUGUGUACAUUUAAACAUAAAGAAAGCUACAGAAGAGGACUCAUGAGGCUCUUGUUAGUUUAGGAAGUCAUAUUUUCUUGUUCUUAUAGGUAUAUUUGCUAUAAUUUCUUGUUUUGGAGGUAAAUGCAAUAUGUAAUUUCAGAAAAGCAACUCAGUCAAAUAUGAAAAGAAAAACUAAAAAUAUAUUUAAUUUUAAUAUUUCUUUUGAGAAUAAGAAACUGUUAGAAGUAGAGAACAAAGUAAUGGCAUAAUGACCCAUUUGACUAUCUUUAUUCUUCUACUUGUUAUAAAACUCACCUUAGAAAAGAAUCUCCAAUUCUGAGAACUUGAUUUAUGGACUAAAUAUAUCAAUGAUAAAGCCAUUUAUUUCAUUGCCACACCUUUAAAAUUCCAAACCUGUUUUCUUGUUUGCUUUUUGUUUGUUUCUAAGAUCUCUUUAAGUUGAACUAAGAAUUGGAGUAGAGAGAAGAGGAAGAAGAGACUGUGAAGAAAGAUCAUUACAUCCAGGAAUUUCCCUUUUUUAAGAGGACAAGGGUUCUAUAUGUAGAAAAAGAAAGUGAUUAGUUUACAGAGAAAGUAACUUGCUCUCUCACAAACUUAGUUGGCCACCAGCUAUAAUGUUUUAUUAGAGUUUCCACCUUUGAGGUUAUUUCAUUUAGCCAGAGAAGCAUUUACAAAAAUAAUUCACAUGCAAAAGAUAUCAACAGGUAUUGUAAGAAGGGAUUCACGGUCAAGUAAGUUUGGUGCAUGAUAGAUUAAAAUUUUUAAAAAUGGCUUUACUACAAUAUUUAUUAUAGUCCUGAUGAAAUAAAAUUAACUUACUGCUCCAAAAAGUGAUGUGAAACAUGCCAUGAUUUACAGGCUUGUUUGACAGAAUCUUUUUUUCUAAUAUCAUCUGAGUUAUAGUAUUAGUUGAAAUGUACUACAGGGGGAUCCCUGGGUGGCGCAGCGGUUUAGCGCCUGCCUUUGGCCCAGGGCGCGAUCCUGGAGACCCGGGAUCGAAUCCCACGUCAGGCUCCUGGUGCAUGGAGCCGGCUUCUCCCUCUGCCUAUGUCUCUGCCUCUCUCUCUCUCUCACUGUGUGCCUAUCAUAAAUAAAUAAAAUAAAAUAAAAUAAAAUAAAAAAGAAAUGUACUACAGGAAAUUUUAAACUAACAUAUUAUCUAUGGAAUUCAAUUAAUACAGAGAUAUGGUCCUAAGUAAAAGAAUUCAAAACAAAAAAUUUUAAGAUAGCACAUGGUACAUUACUGUUACAUAUCAUCAUGAAAAUAUUUUUCUGUGAGACAAUCAUGCAAUCCACUGGGUGGUGAAAGGUUUAUGUGAUGUAAUAAAUUACAAAACCUGAGCAAAAUGGGAUGGUAGCACAGGUAACAAUGCAGGGCUUUUGUGACUCCAUAGCAAUAUUGCUAAAUAUGCAUGAAUUAUGAUUCUCUAAUACUUAUUUGGUAUGUAAUGACCAACCUUCCAACUCAAUUGGCAAGUUACACAUAGUGUAUUUAAGUUGUAGAUAUCAAUAAUUUAUUAAACAACAAGACACAUAACAAUAAUAUUAGGAGAAUGUAUCUUCACUAGAUGACUUUAGGAAGAACUUCAUGCCUUUUCAGAGUCAAUGAAUUUAUAAUACAAAUAACAAAAGGCAAAUUAAUAAAUUAGAUAAUUGAACUCUUUGUAGAACUAUUGGGAUACUGGCAUUGAUAAUUUGAACAUCUAAAAAAUUAAAUAUAAUUCUCAGUGUUAUUUUAAUUUCACCUUGGCUAUUAUCUCAACAAAAAGUCCUACUUGGGAAUUCUCAUAUGAAUUAAAUAAAACACCUCAAAAUUUCAUGAUGAAAAAAAUCCCUGAAAUCAUUUAACAAAAUCAUUUAAAAAAAUUUUUAAUUGAGAUUUUCUGAAUGCCAGAAGGUGAUCCUCUCCUACUUCAUUGGUCUUAAAGCAAAUAUUAAUUUUAAAACUUGGCUAUUAAGCAUUCAGCCAAAAUGUGUUUUCAAUGAACUUCUGUAGGUAAUAAUACUGUAUAAGUUUUUUAAUUUAAAUUUUGUGCAUAAGGCGAUGUAAAUUCUAUAUCUGCAAUUGGGCCACCCUCAAGCACCUUGAAAAACACAUAUUUCAAAACCAUUCACUGAGAGAAUUAAAAUGGCUUGAGACUGCAUCAAAUCAUUUUUCCGUCAUAAUCAUCUCUUGGAAAUAUAAUUUCUAAACCUUUGAAAUGUAAUUAAUCUACAACAAAUUAAAUCGUGGACAUUCUUGAGGAAUGGUAUUCCUUUUAUUCUUUUAAUUGGUAGAUAUUAUAUUUUAUUUAGAAUAUUUAUAUUUAUCAUUAUAAAGGAAUACGAGCUUGUUUAAUUUUGACACUUGACCUGUUACCAGCCUCAGAAAAUGAGCUUCAAAAAUUUUAUUGGUGAAAGAGGCUGGAAAAUUUUAAGUGUAAGACUACUUAAACUUACUUAGUCUUAUAUCUAGUCUAAAUUUUCAAAAAUAAAAAUAAAAAAUAAAAAAUAAAAUAAAUUUUCAAAAAUACACAAGCUACCAAAUCUCAACUACAAUGAAGUAGAUAUCCCAAAUAGCCAUAUAACUGGAAAGCCAUUAAAGAAACUGAAUUUAUAAUUGUAAAGCUCCCUAAAAAUCCUCAGGACAAUGGCUCUAAUUGCAAAUUUUCACAAACAUCUGAAAAAUGAACACAAAUUUUAUACGUCUUUCAGAAAAUAGAAAAAAAAAAA
rnacentral:lncRNA from 1 species